rnacentral:rRNA from 1 species
CUUCCGUAUAGCUCAGGCUCAUACAUGCAAGUCGAGCGCCCCGCAAGGGGAGCGGCAGACGGGUGAGUAACGCGUGGGAAUCUACCCUUUUCUACGGAAUAACGCAGGGAAACUUGUGCUAAUACCGUAUACGCCCUUCGGGGGAAAGAUUUAUCGGGAAAGGAUGAGCCCGCGUUGGAUUAGCUAGUUGGUGGGGUAAAGGCCUACCAAGGCGACGAUCCAUAGCUGGUCUGAGAGGAUGAUCAGCCACAUUGGGACUGAGACACGGCCCAAACUCCUACGGGAGGCAGCAGUGGGGAAUAUUGGACAAUGGGCGCAAGCCUGAUCCAGCCAUGCCGCGUGAGUGAUGAAGGCCCUAGGGUUGUAAAGCUCUUUCACCGGUGAAGAUAAUGACGGUAACCGGAGAAGAAGCCCCGGCUAACUUCGUGCCAGCAGCCGCGGUAAUACGAAGGGGGCUAGCGUUGUUCGGAAUUACUGGGCGUAAAGCGCACGUAGGCGGACAUUUAAGUCAGGGGUGAAAUCCCGGGGCUCAACCCCGGAACUGCCUUUGAUACUGGGUGUCUAGAGUAUGGAAGAGGUGAGUGGAAUUCCGAGUGUAGAGGUGAAAUUCGUAGAUAUUCGGAGGAACACCAGUGGCGAAGGCGGCUCACUGGUCCAUUACUGACGCUGAGGUGCGAAAGCGUGGGGAGCAAAACAGA